rnacentral:rRNA from 1 species
CAGCCGCCGCGGGAAUACGGAGGGUGCAAGCGUUACUCGGAAUUACUGGGCGUAAAGCGUGCGUAGGUGGUGGUUUAAGUCCGUUGUGAAAGCCCUGGGCUCAACCUGGGAAUUGCAGUGGAUACUGGGUCACUAGAGUGUGGUAGAGGAUAGUGGAAUUUCCGGUGUAGCGGUGAAAUGCGUAGAGAUCUGGAGGAAUACCGAUGGCGAAGGCAGCCAUCUGGCCUAAUACUGACGCUGAGGUACGAAAGCAUGGGGAGCAAACAGGAUUAGAUACCCCGGUAGUCCCUGUCUCUUAUAC